rnacentral:rRNA from 1 species
UACAGAGGGUGCGAGCGUUAAUCGGAUUUACUGGGCGUAAAGGGCGCGUAGGUGGCAAAGCAAGUAAGAUGUGAAAGCCCUGGGCUUAACCUGGGAAGUGCAUCUUAAACUGCUUAGCUAGAGUAUGGUAGAGGGUAGUGGAAUUUCCGGUGUAGCGGUGAAAUGCGUAGAGAUCGGAAGGAACGCCAGUGGUGAAGACGACUACCUGGACCAAUACUGACACUGAGGCGCGAAAGCGUGGGGAUCAAACAGG